UUAGAGACCCAUUUAUUCCGACGCAAACUUUGCUUCGGCGGCUGCUUGAGUACUACGAGUGCUUAAAACUCAAAGAACUUGGCGGCUCGUUAACUACCCAGGGGAAUAUGCGCCUUAAUCCGAUGAUCCGCGUUGCAUCUUACUGUACCUUGAAAAAGAACAGCUGGUGUAUUGCCGUUGUCAGCUUGUUGUUUGAGCAGGAGAAACAGGCUCAAUGGACCUAGGAGCCGUAAAUUCAGGUCGAAAUACUGCCAAUGGUACAAGGGAGUGGGUAUUACAAUUCUGAUUUUGAACUACGGAUCCUAUGAAAUUGAAGGUGGACUUGGGAGUAAGGGGAGAUUAACAUGCUUCCCUGAACUGAAUCUAACUUGUGUACAAACCGCCCGUCGCUCUCGCCAGGGGAGAU
rnacentral:rRNA from 1 species